AAAACACACACACAUAGCAUUACAUAAAGAAAGCAGAGGAUAGCACCCUCCCCUAACAAGAAAGCCUGCAAUAUAGAAACCUGGAUCAUUUUUUCGGAUAAUUCUUUGUUUUUCCUCUCAAAUGUCCCCUUCUGCCUUUUGGCUUCUUCUAACUGCUCAAUCGCUCGUUUAUAAUCCUACCGUUAAAAGAAAGAUAUGAUCAGUCACUAGAAUACAUGACUCAAAAUCAAUGA
rnacentral:ribozyme from 13 species